UUGAAAGAUCAUUCUAAUCAGAGCCUUAGUUAUUACCAUAUUUUAAUAUUAAUUUUAGUGGGGCACCAUCAAAAAAAGGUCCAGCUGUUGAUUACUUGUUGUGUAAAAGUAUAAUUGAAGCUGUAGUUAAGACUGUAUACACUGACAAACCCAAAGAUUUGCUCAACCAGAAAAUAGUUGCAUUUUCAUACUUUUAUGACAGAGCUCAAGAUGCUGAUCUUGUCGGYGAAGAAGGAGGAGAUGUUACUAUUAAAUCAUUUUAUAAAGCAGCAGAGAAAGAAUGUUCUCAAACAAGUUAUAAUGAGUUACGUCCAUUUAAAUGCCUUGAUUUAACCUAUAUUUCUGUAUUAUUGGAACAAGGUUUUGGUUUACCUGUUGACACUUCAGUUUCUUUAUUAAAUACUAUUGAUGGACAUGAAAUAAGCUGGGCGCUCGGAGCAGCUUACCAUAUUUUACAAAAUGGACUUUAACUCAAACUGCCAUUUUUCAAAAAACAAAACAACCAUGGUGAUUGAUGAUCAAAACAUAGUUUAUGUUCUAUUUUCUACUUUGUCAUGUCUAUUGUUUAAUUUUCUGCCAUUCAAACAUAGUGCACUAGUUGAUACUAACUUUUCACACAAAUAUUAGUUUGUAUUUUGKAUUUUUAUUUUUAAUYAUCAAUAUAUUUGUUAUAUUUAUAAAUUAUAUUCCAACGAAUUAUUUGAUUUUAAAUACUUGUAUUGUUAGAUUAAUUUUAAUUUUAUAAUCAUGAAUUCACKMGUGAAUUCAUGAUGAUGAUAUGUAACAGCUAAAAUUUAUGGAUUGUCCACAAACAAAAUAGUUUGCAUUCCAUUGCCAUAAUUAAUGCUACUUAAUUGUCUUUAUUAAAUAAAAUUGUACGGUUGAAUAA